AACAUAUACAACUCCAAUUCAAGUGAUUCCAAAGCCAUUUGAAAGCUAAGAUACAAGGCUAUAAGUCUUAAGAAGACAUUGACAACCAAAUCAGUGGUAUUCCUGGUCAAAACAGCCAAUUACAGAAGCUGAUUAGCAUGUUCGGAUAGAAACAGGGCAGCAGGGGUAUUUCAGUCUUUUCACAAGCUACGUUGCUCCGAUUGGGCUGAAAUUUUGCAGGCAUAUAUUUAACUCAAGUAUCUACAAUUCAUGUUCUGAGCAGGACCCGGUUCGGCCUUUACCAUGGACAACCAUGCAGUGCAAAAACAGGGCAGAUUCAUCAUCUAAGUUACAAAUUCAUUUUCCUGCAAAAACAAGACAUUCAAGCAGGACAGCCUACUUUGAGGAAUCACGGACAGCAGUACACCUG
rnacentral:lncRNA from 1 species